AGCGGGCCCUUCGGGGUGUCCGGCGAGUGGCGAACGGGUGAGUAAUGCAUCGGAACGUACCCGGGAGUGGGGGAUAACCGGCCGAAAGGCUGGCUAAUACCGCAUGAACUCGGAAGAGCAAAGCGGGGGACCUUCGGGCCUCGCGCUCUCGGAGCGGCCGAUGUCCGAUUAGCUAGUUGGUGAGGUAAAGGCUCACCAAGGCGACGAUCGGUAGCGGGU
rnacentral:rRNA from 1 species